rnacentral:rRNA from 1 species
UCCCCAAGCAACGAUCCGUAGCUGUCUGAGAGGAUGAUCAGCCACAUCGGGACUGAGACACGGCCCGAACUCCUACGGGAGGCAGCAGUGGGAAUAUUGGACAAUGGGCGAAAGCCUGAUCCAGCCAUGCCGCGUGGUGAAGAAGGCCCUCGGGUUGUAAAGCACUUUCAGCGAGGAAGAACGCCUAGUGGUUAAUACCCAUUAGGAAAGACAUCACUCGCAGAAGAAGCACCGGCUAACUCCGUGCCAGCAGCCGCGGUAAUACGGAGGGUGCAAGCGUUAAUCGGAAUUACUGGGCGUAAAGCGCGCGUAGGUGGCUUGAUAAGCCGGUUGUGAAAGCCCCGGGCUCAACCUGGGAACGGCAUCCGGAACUGUCAAGCUAGAGUGCAGGAGAGGAAGGUAGAAUUCCCGGUGUAGCGGUGAAAUGCGUAGAGAUCGGGAGGAAUACCAGUGGCGAAGGCGGCCUUCUGGACUGACACUGACACUGAGGUGCGAAAGCGUGGGUAGCAAACAGGAUUAGAUACCCUGGUAGUCCACGCCGUAAACGAUGUCGACCAGCCGUUGGGUGCCUAGCGCACUUUGUGGCGAAGUUAACGCGAUAAGUCGACCGCCUGGGGAGUACGGCCGCAAGGUUAAAACUCAAAUGAAUUGACGGGGGCCCGCACAAGCGGUGGAGCAUGUGGUUUAAUUCGAUGCAACGCGAAGAACCUUACCUACUCUUGACAUCCUGCGAACUUGUGAGAGAUCACUUGGUGCCUUCGGGAACGCAGAGACAGGUGCUGCAUGGCUGUCGUCAGCUCGUGUUGUGAAAUGUUGGGUUAAGUCCCGUAACGAGCGCAACCCUUGUCCUUAUUUGCCAGCGGGUAAUGCCGGGAACUCUAAGGAGACUGCCGGUGACAAACCGGAGGAAGGUGGGGACGACGUCAAGUCAUCAUGGCCCUUACGAGUAGGGCUACACACGUGCUACAAUGGCCGGUACAAAGGGUUGCGAGCUCGCGAGAGUCAGCUAAUCCCGAAAAGCCGGUCUCAGUCCGGAUCGGAGUCUGCAACUCGACUCCGUGAAGUCGGAAUCGCUAGUAAUCGUGAAUCAGAAUGUCACGGUGAAUACGUUCCCGGGCCUUGUACACACCGCCCGUCACACCAUGGGAGUGGACUGCACCAGAAGUGGUUAGCUUAACCUUCGGGAAAGCGAUC